GAUAACCAUAAAUAGUCAUCGCAUCAAGGGUGGGGUUAGUAACUAACCUGACGGUUUGGGUGGUAGAGUCAUACAAUCCUCCCCAAUACAUGGCUUUCCCUGCCAAAAGUAAAGCCCCAAAACCAAGAAAUAACAGAUGAUGUCCGAGGAUAAGUCCUAGUUUAGCAGGAUCAUCCCA
rnacentral:antisense_RNA from 1 species